rnacentral:rRNA from 1 species
AUUGAACGCUGGCGGCAGGCUUAACACAUGCAAGUCGAGCGGAGAUGAGGUGCUUGCACCUUAUCUUAGCGGCGGGCGGGUGAGUAAUGCUUAGGAAUCUGCCUAUUAGUGGGGGACAACAUUCCGAAAGGAAUGCUAAUACCGCAUACGUCCUACGAGAGAAAGCAGGGGAUCUUCGGACCUUGCGCUAAUAGAUGAGCCCCAGUCGGAUUAGCUAGUUGGUGGGGUAAAGGCCUGCCAAGGCGACGAUCUGUAGCGGGUCUGAGAGGAUGAUCCGCCACACUGGGACUGAGACACGGCCCAGACUCCUACGGGAGGCAGCAGUGGGGAAUAUUGGACAAUGGGGGGAACCCUGAUCCAGCCAUGCCGCGUGUGUGAAGAAGGCCUUAUGGUUGUAAAGCACUUUAAGCGAGGAGGAGGCUACUGAGACUAAUACUCUUGGAUAGUGGACGUUACUCGCAGAAUAAGCACCGGCUAACUCUGUGCCAGCCGCCGCAGUAAAAC